rnacentral:lncRNA from 1 species
UGUUUUUUUGUGGGUUUUUUUAAGCACUUCUGCAUCCUGCCCAACUUGGAUGCUGGAUGUAACUCUGAGCUGGAUGCUGGAUGCUGGAUGUAACUCUGAACUGGAUGCUGGAUGCUGGAUGUAACUCUGAGCUGGAUGCUGGAUGCUGGAUGUAACUCUGAACUAGAUGCUGGAUGUAACUCUGAACUGGAUGCUGGAUGCUGGAUGUAACUCUGAACUAGAUGCUGGAUGUAACUCUGAACUGGAUGCUGGAUGUAACUCUGAACUGGAUGCUGGAUGUAACUCUGAGCUGGAUGCUGGAUGUAACUCUGAACUAGAUGCUGGAUGUAACUCUGAACUGGAUGCUGGAUGCUGGAUGUAACUCUGAACUGGAUGCUGGAUGUAACUCUGAACUGGAUGCUGGAUGCUGGAUGUAACUCUGAGCUGGAUGCUGAAUGUUACUCUGACCUGGAUGCUGGAUGUAACUCUGACCUGGAUGCUGGAUGCUGGAUGCUGGAUGUAACUCUGACCUGGAUGCUGGAUGUAACUCUGAGCUGGAUGCUGGAUGUCAUUCUGAACUGGAUGCUGGAUGCUGGAUGUAACUCUGAGCUGGAUGCUGGAUGCUGGAUGUAACUCUGAACUGGAUGCUGGAUGCUGGAUGUAACUCUGAGCUGGAUGCUGGAUGUAACUCUGAACUGGAUGCUGGAUGUAACUCUGAACUGGAUGCUGAAUGCUGGAUGUAACUCUGAACUGGAUGCUGGAUGCUGGAUGUAACUCUGAGCUGGAUGCUGGAUGUAACUUUGACCUGGAUGCUCUCCCAAAAACAUCCAGGUCGCUAUGCCGUACAUCCGGCUCGUUUUACUUCUGCAUCCCGCUCAACAUCCACUCGAUGGCUUCCCCUGACAGGAGACGUCUACCUGCUCUUUAUCAUCCGUCCACGUCUUCCUCACUGUAACAGCCACUACUGCUCUUUAGCGUCCGUCCACGUCUUCCUCUGUGUAACAGCCCCUACAGCUCAAUAGUGUGCAGUGAAUUUGACUAGAUGUAAGGCUUUAAUGAAUAUGACAUGUAUUCUAAGCAAAAAAUUUUUUUUCGAAAUUGCACAAACAAUCAAUUUUUUGCAUACCCAAAAAGCAAGUACAGGGGCGCGUCUGAUUUCAUUCCUUAUUCUCAGGGCCAGGUGUUUAUUCUACAUGUCAGAGAGGCAUGUUUGCUCCAGUUACAUAGACGAUUUAUAUUUGAACGUUCCAAAAACAUUGUGUCCUGCUGAACAUGUAGAAUGUAUUGCAGCUAAACAUGGUAUUCGGACACGGUCCAUGUAAUAAUGUCUGAGAAAAUCUGUUGAUGAUUUGUCGCUACAGAUGGUUUGUUACAUGGUUAGGAGAAUUAACAUGGCAGUUUAGGAGAAUUAACAUGAUAGGUUAGGAGAAUUACCAUGGCAGGUUAGGAGAAUUAACAUGGCAGGUUAGGAGAAUUAACAUGAUAGGUUAGGAGAAUUAACAUGGCAGGUUAGGAGAAUUAACAUGAUAGGUUAGGAGAAUUAACAUGGCAG